GGAGAGGUGGCUGAGUGGACGAAGGCGCUCGCCUGGAGAGCGAGUAGGCCACGAAAGUGGCCUCGUGGGUUCGAAUCCCACCCUCUCCGCCA
rnacentral:tRNA from 3 species